rnacentral:tRNA from 1 species
CCGUAGCUCAUCCGGAUAGAGUGCCUGACUUCGAAUCAGUAGGUAGUGGGUUCGAAUCCCUCCGG